GGGGGAUGGGGCAGGGAACACUUCGGUCUCUCCCUCGGGCCCACAUCUCUGAGCCCCACAGGGGAGGAAUGGAGAGUGUGCACCCCACCUUGGGAAAAGCCACCCCCAACUCCAACAGGACCGAUCUCCUCAGCCAGGCUCCUCCCCCACACCUGCUUUCUCCAGAAACAUUCUUUCUAUGUCAGUGUGCCCCAAACAAGAGCAGAUUUAUUUAAUCAGGGGCAGGACAGGAUGGCAAUUUACUAAUCAUCUUAAACUGCUUACACCACACACAGCAGAUGAACUCGAACUAAGACCUGAACUACGGAAGGACGGGCCAAGGGGUGGAGACCAGAAUCAUGAACGGAAACAGGUGACAUGGCAGAGGGAACAGACCGACAAAUUACAGUUCAUGGGCAAAUGCCAAACACCCAGCCCGAGGCACAAAGGGUCAAGGCUUAGGACUGGGUCUCACCGAAAAACACCCGCAAAUGGUCAGGGCUGCCGGGUAAGGAGCAAGCAGAUUGGAAAAUGGUGAGGGCAGAACAAGGAGGCCCAUGGAGACCAUUUUCUUUUUUAUAGCCUCUUGGAAAUCAGUCACGAAGCUAAGUUUUGUUGAACUGGCCAUGGCUUUGGCUUGCAACCAAGAUAAAAUGAGUGAUCGUGGAGAAGAGAUGUCACAUGCUUUUUGCCAGCUUUGGUUCAGGACUCCAAGACUUUCUUCAGGUCAAGUGGACCCAGCUUUCUCAGACUCUGAAAUGAGACUGUCUACGAAAUGAGAGACGUGGACUAAAACAAGUACUUCUCAUCUUUGAUGGGCAGAUGACGGUCCCACCUAUGUCAUUAAGAUGCAAUUUCUGAUUCUCGAGGUCUGGGGUGGGGCCAGAGACUGCAUCCUGCCAUGCUUCCAGGUGAUGCCCGAACGAGUGUCCACAAGCACACUUGAACUAAGUUACCCUUGAAGGUGUCAUUAGGCUACAAGCUUAAAUGGUUGCCAGCUCCAGAAAAGCGUAUGUCACAGUAACAAUGAAUACUUUAUUUUUUAAAAAUGAAAAUGCUUUAUAAAAGCAAUUCAUGCUUAUCAUUUUUUUUUUAAUCACACAAUUUUUAAAAUGCAAGUGUGGAGAAUCAUCCAGGGUUAAAGGUACCACUCAAAAUAGUGUGCUCUUUUUCACAGGUGGUGAAGAACACAGUGCUGAGUUCCAGUACUCCUUCGUAUUACCUCGUCUCUUCAGAUCAGAUCAUGCGGCUGGUAACUUUUUCAGUUUGCUGCCUGGCCACUCAGAGUUCACUGAUUUGGACGGGGUUCCUCCUCUUGUGCUAGAUUUGCCCCCCGAUCAUAGGAUUUCCAGCUGCUUAUUGCCCAGAUCCAGGAAGAGGGAAAGAUUUUCUAAUCAUCCCUGCCGGAUUGAAUGGACCUGAAGAUAUCUAGAAGAAAAAAGAGAUACCUGAAUAGUGAGAAUAAUUUUUAAGAGACUUAAAACACAAUUCCCAGUUAAGAUCAUUAGAGCUGUUGGACAUGGGGUCCUGCGUCCACGUUAAUGUUUGGGGAAUGACUCAGGACAUAAUCACCAUUGAUGGAGGAGGAAAUCUUGCCUCAUUCCUCGGCACUCUCCUUUGUAAUAGUUAAUGUUAUCUGAAUGUUUAAUGUUCACAUUAAAGCUAUUUGAAUGUACUUAAAAUGAUUGCAAUAAUAACGAAGCCUUAAGAGCUUGCCGGUCAUUACAGACAAUGUAUGAGACACUUGCAAGACUCAAUUAGAGUUGAUUGAAAUAUACAACUAUUAAACAUCAGAUUAAAGAUUCCAAACAUCAAAUUGACUUUGCUAUUUACACAUUUUUCUUUGUCUACUUGGAA